UGUGUGAUAUAUGUGGCAAUUUGGGAUUCAGGGGAACAAGGUGAUCAUGCUGUUCCUUUAUUUAUUUUCUUCCUAAUUCAUGUUUGUGUGAUAUUUGUGGCAAUUUGGGAUUGAGGGGAACAAGGUGAUCACGCUGUUCCUUUAUUUAUUUUCUUCCUAAUUCAUGUUUGUGUGUGAUAUUUGUGGGAAUUUUCUCUUUAGGUUUGUUAACUUCUAUGUUUAAUAGAUGCAUGUUGUUUAGGUGCGAUUGUGCUCUGAUGGGUGUGGAAUCCUGAUGCAAUAUGCUGAGAAGGGCGUGUUUUUGUUCUUUAAAUAUACAACAACAUUCCCCAAUCAGAGUUGGAACACAUCGAAUAUUGAUUUUAAACCUCACAACCUAAUGCAUGAUUAAGUAAUUAUGUGUCAUAAAAUCUGUACACUAAGUACUUAUUCCAGAGAGUGUGGGGUCCUAAGCUUUCCUUGUCAAAUCGUAGGGAUCAUAGAAUUUACAGGCAUUUCUGGAAAUUGGUGCUAAUUUGAUGAUUGAAGGUUGCCUUGAUAAAUGAUAACUAUAGAACAAUUAAAUGUUUAGUGUCAAGUGAUGUUUGUAGUAACAAUCCACAAACUUCAAAAGGAAGUUGAUUUAGAAUUUCUCUGUUGCAAUUUAUACUGGUUGAUGCUUAAUUAGGAGAUGCCUUUUCAGUUAUUGAAUUGAAGUUGAUCAGUGUCAUUUUCACCAUUGUAACUGCUAAUAUUAGGCAGUUUCAUAAUGCAUCCGGAAUGUUUCUUGUAAGGAAAUUUCUUCAGUCAUACAUGGUCUGUAGAAUGAAUUUUUAACAUAACUUUCUAUACUCAGCAAGGACAGAUAGUUGGACAUCCGUUAUUUUUUGACAUCGCAGCCUUUUUCAUGGUCCUUCAUUUGUAUUCAUUUUUCCUUCAAUUAUGCCCCUGCAAAACAUGCAUUAUUAAAUUUUCAAUAUGCCUUUUUUUAUAUUUAAACAUGAAUUGAAUACAAAGUUGCUUCCAUUAUUACAUAGGGUUAUGUGAAAUUUUAUGUCCAAUACUCCCUUUGUUUCAAAUUACUUGUCGUUCUAUGUUUUUCUUAAGUCAAGCAUUUUAAUUUGACCAUCAAUUUCUAUAAACUCAUAUAGUUUAACAUCAUAAGGUUUAUAUUUUUGGAUUUGCGAUGAGAAAUACUUUCAUAAUAAAUAAUUCACAUGAUGAACUGCAUGGAUUUUUAAAAACUAAUGGUAAAAAAUAGACAUGUUUGACUUAGGACAAACCUAGAACGACAAAUAAUUUGAAACAGAGGGAGUAGUUGUGUCCAACAUUUUUGUCAGAAGAAAGUACAAUCUAUUUUUUUCCAUUUCUCAUGGAAAUAGCCUAAGCCAGUAAACGUGAUUUAGAUUUUUUUUUCCUUCCCUCUUCUAUUCAGGAUGCAAUGCUAUUUUAAAAAGAAGUAUUUGUUUUUUGCUGACCAUUUGAUAGUUUUUUUUUGUUCCUUAGUUAUUUGAUAGUUUAGUUGCUGAUGUACAAGAAGCCUCAUGUUACAUACUUUCUUGUACUUUGGCCUAAAAGGCUUGACUAAAAUGGAUUUUUCCACAUUUUCUUUCUUGGAAGUAUAGGUGAGGCAUGGUCUAGAAAUUGUUUGAAAAAAAAGUUUAAAUCAAAAGUUGAGGCUCAUUUUCCUAGUCUUUUUACUUGCUCUGAAAUAAAAAUUUGGCGACCAAUGUUCAAUGUCUAAUUAACGUUUACAACUUUAGCAUGAUUUUACGGUUGCAAGUACAAACUACCGAUUUUUUGUGCUGAAUGAAUGAUUAGAACCGCCUCUGUUCCUUUUGUGGUAGUAUCCAGUUAGGUACUCCUAAUGUUGGAAGAGCACCUGCAUUUUCUUGUCGAUCAGUAGUCACUCCCUUCACUUUGAUGUUUGCUCAUUAUACCUUUCCACUGUUGUUAGUUGUGUCUUACUACAGGUGAAGAAGUAAGUUUUUUUUAGUUCUGUCAGACACUCCAAUAGACAUUGUCGUGAUUCACCAAGUGCUUGUGCUUGUUACUCUGUUCUAUCAUUGCUUUUGGAUAAAAUAACCCUUGAUGUUUGCUUGUUUCUUCAUUCUUGAUUACAUAUAUGAAGAAGUUCAGUAUCUCUUAAAUGUUUGCAUCUGCAGGACCCUAACGUGUCCAUUCCUGUGGAUGCCAUCAUGGGGGCUCUUAGGGUCAUACUUGGUACUGAAUUAGGCUUCUUCUGUCCUGUUUAUCUUUGCUGUAUACUAAAACUCUCUGAUGACCAUCAAGCUAAUAAUUUUGACUUACUAGUACUGAUUCUUGGUUUCAGAUGUAAGGAAUCACCCAGUUCUAAUCCAUUGCAAAAGAGGAAAGGUACCAAAAAGCACUCAUCUGUUCAAAAUCCAUAAUUGUUUUUGUCCACACCACAUGUUCUUGAUAUUUUAUCUGUUUCGACCGCAGCACCGUACUGGAUGUCUUGUGGGCUGCUUCAGAAAGCUGCAGAAUUGGUGUCUCUCAUCAGUCUUUGAAGAGUACCAUCGGUAUGCUGCUGGAAAGUCACGGUUGUCAGAUCUGAAGUUUAUCGAAUCAUUUGAUGUCAACUGCAUGACGGAUUGCCUGCUCAGGCUCAUCUACCACUACCAUGGUUGCCUUCAGAAAAGCAAGCGCCUGGCAUACAGCGAGAGAUAAACUACUGUGGAAACUAUCUCCUGUGUCAUGAGUAUAUCCCUGGAGAAGAAUUGGUCGGACUAUUUUUCCUUUUUGGAGGGGAAUUGGUCGGAGUUGUAACACAAAGACUCGAGUUACCGGGCAUCUGUUGAUUCUUUUUUUAUAUCUUCAUGCCUUGGUUCUUUUUAUAAUAUAUAUAUAUAUUCUUUGAGCAUGGUCUUUGACGUUAAUUUCACCACCCUAAAUAUAAGUCUAAGCAAGUUUAUGAUUAUUAAGUGUGGUGUAUUGCUAUGGUAGUGCGCAUCCUCAUAUAACAACCAAACACCUGUUUGCCAGUCCUUACAUUCUUCGAGAAGUAGAUCCCUGGCAAUUAAUUAAUCACGCGGUCUUAAUAUAUACUCCCGUUUCAAAAUAUUUGACACCGUUAACUUUUUAGCACAUGUGUGACCGUUUGUCUUAUUAAAAAAAUUUAUAAAAUAUGUAAAAUUAUAUGUGUACAUGAAAGUAUAUUUAACAAUGAAUCAAAUGAUAUGAAAAGAAUAAAUAAUUACUUAAAUUUUUUAAAUAAGACAAAUGGUUAAACACGUACUAAAAAGUCGACGGUGUCAAACAUUUUGAAACGGAGGGAGUACUUUCUCGUGAUACUCUCCCCGCGGAUCACAUUAGAUGUUGUGAUAGUCUCCCCGCGGAUCACUAGAGAAGUUGAGAACCUAUAAAUUGCCAGUUCGUUUGCUCUGCUCUUUCUUAUGCAAGAUGUGUUUAAUUGUACUGAUGAGAUUCCGUUGAAACACAUGCCCAUGAAAUUUACUAAUUUUUGAAAAACAUUUUCUCAAAAAUAUCCAAAAGUAAUCCUUUUUGACCAAACUUCGAAAAAAUAUUUCCUCAAAAAUAUCCAAAAGUAAUCUUUUUGACCAAACUCCGAGUCUGCGACCAUUCUGUUAUGCCAUCUCCAGAUAUAUUGAUUCAGCAACCUUGCCCCAACCACAAGCCCUGCAGGCUGCAGAUUCUGUUUUCCACUUGGCGCGACGGGCGGCACCGCCAGCUAGGCGUCCAACGUAAGGAGGGGGAUCUCCAGGAAUUCAGAUAAGGGAUAGGGUUGCUGGCAUCCUCCAUCCAAUGAACGCCACACAGCUCUCAACCAUAUCUCAUCUUCAGGGACCCACCCAAACACAUACUCCAGAUUUUCUCUCCUGCAGCUUGUAAAGAUCACAAACUUUAAUUUCUAGGGCAGUUGCCAAGAAGGCUGUUUCACAUCCAUUUUUUUUGGCCGGGAGAGAGAGCAUCUAGCUAGGGAGAGAAAGGAAGAGACGAGAGGAGAGAGAUGGCCACUGCUUAUGCUCCCAUGGCGAGCCAGCUGAUGAAGAGCAGCUUGGUGUGCUCCAAGCCGAGGGGGCUGUCUGGUGCUUCGCUGACAAGGAGGCCCCGCUUCACAGUCAAGGCCAUCCAGUCUGAGAAGGUCAGUAGAGCUAGCUAGACUGCUAAAGAGCAUUGAGAGAUUUCCCAUUUCGCUUCAUCAAAGCUAGUGUAAAACUUGCAUGUUUCUCAAGAACAAGCUCUGUUAAUUAAAAUCAGAUGGUAGAUUUCAGACAUAAUCGUUUUUCAUUUUGUUGUAUUUUUAUUGCUCUGUUCACUAGUUUAUUUCCUCAAUUAGCAAUAUAAUAUUGAAUUGUUGUAAUCCCUCUGUAGAUUAGACGCAUCGUAGUACUAUGAAAUGUGAAAAAUUUCAAAGAUGAAGGGAGUAAUAAGUUUGCCUGCAUAGUACAUCCUUAAACUUUUUGCCAUCGUUAUUUCGAUCACAAAUCCCCUUUUUGGGAGAGAGGGUUGGAUUAUUAGCAUGACGAUUUUAGAAGAUAUAGUUACACAAAUUUAGCCAAAAUUGGAUGCAUUAAUUUAUAGUUAACUUUGUAUAAGUUCUAGCUAUAUGAUAAGUGUAAACCAUAAGUCCAUAAUAUAUGCAAGAAACAAGAGCAUACGUUUUCUAGAGCUUAAUUAAAUAGCUUUAUUUGUGUGAGCGUGACUAUAUCGGCGUCUGUAGGCCGGAUACAUCUUGACGCAGAAGCCGAAUUGAAAUAUAGUAUUAUCUAAAAGAAAUAUAUAUGGUGGUGUGUAUUUACACGUGUCUACUUCUAUGGAACGAUAAAUGAAACAUUUACUCUCUUCGUCUCAUAUUACCUGUCGUUUUAGAUAAUUUAGCAUAGAUUAAGGUUUGAGGAAAAAAAAUAUAAUACUCCUAAUUAAAUAUUGUAUAGUUGGAUGUAGGAGGAUGGUUAAGGGUAGAAAAGAUAGAAAUUUGAAUUAGAAGUGAUUGAUGGGACAAGUAAUAAUUCUUUAUGAUAACCAUUUUGAGACAGAGGGAGUAUGAAUCCUAAAGAAUAAAUUGGGACAGAGGGAGUAUCUGAUAUGUGUGAUUCUUGUGGCGUUGUACACAGCCAACGUACCAGGUGGUGCAGCCCAUCAAUGGCGACCCCUUCAUCGGCAGCCUGGAGACGCCGGUGACCUCCAGCCCGCUGGUCGCCUGGUACCUCUCCAACCUCCCGG
rnacentral:lncRNA from 1 species